CAUUAAGGAGUGAUCAGCGAAAGAGUUGUGCCGCUCUCAAUGCUCCUCAGUCCCUUUGUGCCAUGGGCGCAGCUGCACGGCACAGGUUUGCAGGCGCCCAUGGGAACCGUGGCUGGGGGCAGCCCCACAGCAGGGGUUCAGCAGGGCGGGGGCUGCAUCGCUGCUGGGGAUGCAUUUUCCUACCCAAAUUCCCCUCGCUGCUGUGAUAAAGCUAUUGCUGGUUGUCAUUGUGCCUUGGCACCACUCACCCACGGGCAGCCAGAUUGCUGCCAGCUCUGGUUUGGGCGAGUUCAGGAUGAGGAGCUGUGAUGGGAUGAGGGGAAAUGGUUUCAGAGUAAAAGAGGGCAGAUUAAGCUUGUGUAUAAGGAAAACGUUGUUUGUGCUAAGGGUGGUGAGGAAUGGCACACGGUGCCCAAAGAGGUGGAGGUGCCCCAUCCCUGCAGACACCCGUGGACAGGCUGGAUGGGGCUGUGAGCACUGAUGGAGCUGUGGGUGUCCCUGCUCAGUGCAGAGAGACCAGACAGCCUUUAGAGAUCCCUUCCAACUCAAAUCAUUCUGUGAUUCCAUCAUUUUAUGACUCUGUCCCAGCUGUGCACACCUAUGGGCACCGGGCUCUGGGCAAUGGGCACCAGUUGGCCCCCACUAAGGACCCAUUAAGGAGUGGGACACAAAGGAAUGGCUCGAGCAGGCUAAUCAAAUGAAGUGCCAGCAAAAAACUGAGGCUUGGUAUUUCCUGUGCCUCCUCAGCACUGUUAAUCGUCAGGGCUUUUUGUUUCCAGGCUUAAAAAGCUGUCAUUUUAAUAGGCUAUUCUCUUGGCAUUUUUUUUCCUUGCACAUUUGUCAAUAAUCCUCAAACAGCGGAAGCUUUGUUAUCCCAACUAAUUGGAGUCAAGUAGGGCUCUGAUAAAAGAUUUUUCACGACUGAGCCCUGGGAAAAAUGCAAAAGGAUUUUAAUUUUCAAUAACAUAUGCAGAUAAGUAGAAAUUAGCAGUGGGGAAGGGGUCUGGAGGCCGCUUGAAUAAUGGCGCUGCUCAGACAGUCACAGCUCAAGGGAUUAAUGAGGAUGUCAGUAGGUUGCUUGCAUUGCUGCAGGGCUGGAGGUGCCAGGGGGGGGUCAGCACUGGACCCCGCUGUGAUGGCAGCACCCCUGGGUCUUCCUGCCCACUGCCACCACCUUCUGAGGGAAAUGGAUGGGGCUGUUUAGUUUUUAAGCAGUAUCUUCACAGGGCCACCAAUCUGGCAGGUUGCAUCAAGCUGCAUCGGGGACAGACAUAUUUCAGGUUGUGCUUUGUCAUUUUCAUAUAUAAAUGAGGGAAAUUUGUGUCUCUCUUAAUCAUCACAGUGCAGCUCCUAUCAAUUGUGUGCACAGGCAGAUGACUUGGCCCCACACUUUACUAUCCCAGCACCCACAGGUAUGGGCUGGGAUGUACUGGGCAAAGCCAGGGCCUCCUGGAAGCAUCCCCCUCCUACUUUUCCAGCAGCUCUUCCCAGCACUUUUCUGGACCAUUGCUCUGCACAGGGAAGGAGGCAGCCCUCAGCUGGGCUCAGAUGGGCUCCCAGGGUAGAAAGGAGCCAACAGCCCCACGGAGUCGUGGGGAGUAGCCCCCCCCUGGAGCCAGCAGCGUGAGCGGGGGCUGAUGGAGAGCCCGAGGGAAGCACAGCUGAGCCGUCACCUGUUGGAGCUCAGACGGCCACAGCUGCGCCUGAGGCUUUGAACACUCUGGAUUAGGCAGACGAGCGCCCCGCACGCACUUGUGCUCUGCAUGCCAAUGCCUUCCUCCUCCUCCUCCUCCUCCUUUAGCCUCCCUCCUCCUUUAGCCUCCCUCCUCCCAGCCCACUGCUGGAGCUGCAUGUAUGGCACAGGGUCUCAAACUGGCCAAGAGCACUGGAGGCAUCUGCGAUAAAGAUAAGUUGAUAAAACACUCGGUGCUUGAGGAGCUUCCUUUUUGCUUUUGGCCCCAACAUGAGCAAAAUGCGGGGUCUCCAGGAGGUGCCUCAGCUCACCCAUAUGUUUCAUCACCACCUGAGCUGCAAAGUGCUGCUCGGAAGUCAGGAUGUGCCAUUGGCCAUUCCAAGAGGAGUGGGAUCACUCUGGCUCUGGGUUGUUGGAUUUUUGCCUUUUCAAAGCUUUCCUCCCGGUGCCAUACUUCUAAAAUCACCCCGUCUUGCUAUCUGCUCCCUGUGCUCGUGCUUUGGGUCUGUUUAAAAGCAGGGCUGUAACAUUAAUGAGAUUUAUGGCCGACUCUGGAGUGGAAGGGCAGAGGGCCGGCUGUUUUUUUCCUUUUCUUUCCAGGUGAAAGAAAACCUCGAAUGUUAACUCACGAGACAUUACAACGACUGCUCCUUCAAUCCUUGAUUUACGAGCUCAAAUUUAUGAGUUAAAAAUUAUUAUUCCACUCGCAUAUAUUUUUUCCCCUGGUCGUUUUAGUGCUUGUGAAAGGUGAGGGUUUUGACAGCUCCUGGAAACAAAAGCCUUUAAUAUCUCCCUGAGCGAGGCUCUCCCAGGCCAGGAGAGAUCUGCCAGCAGCUUUUCCUCGCUGCCACAGAUAUUGCUCGCUCCAUCCUCAGCUUAUCCAAACAGAGCGGGACUUGAGCAGGAGAUAAGGAAGGGCUGAUGAGCAGCGUCUGUCCUUCGUGCCUCCGGGAUCCUCCUUCACAUCCGGAGACAGGCUGGAGACAGCAGCUGCCAUGAGGAUGCCCAACACAGCUUUGUUUUGGGUCUUUUACUUAUUUUUCCAGGCUUUUUAGCAGGGGAUAUAUGGGAGCCCUGCUUCUGUUGCUUGCAGCAAAUAGGUAAUAUUGGGUGUAGAGCUGAAUUUGUAUUAAGUUGUGUAUUUCCUGAGCACCAUGAGCAUUACACUGAAGUGAGCAGUGCCUGCUCUCCCUCCUCCUCCAAGGCAGCUCCAGGUCUUCCUGGUCCCAUUGGAACAAUUUAUUCUCCAAAAGAGCAGUUGGGCACUGUCACUGCUGCCCUGGGCUCACCAUCCAUGUUGGUGUUCCAGAACCGUGGCAAUGUGGCACCCAGGGAUGUGGUCAGUGGGCAUGGUUGGAUCUGAGAGGGCUUGGGGAUCAGAGAAGGCUUUUCCAUCCUGAAUGACUCUAAUUCUGUGAUGGAGGACCCACCCCAUGUACCAGCGGCUCAGGCUGAACCAAGCUGGCAGCAGCCUUUAAAAGGUGACAUCCAAGAAAUGCCAAGGAGUAAAUAUAUCCUCUUUUAAGCAUGUGUCACACAGUGUCUUAAAGAGCCUAGGGAUUAAAACCUUUAUGGAGCUCAGGAAACAGAGCCAGAGCCCCUGCUGCAUUUCAUUAGAGUACAUUUUUGACACAGCUUGCCUCAUUCAAUAAUGAUUUAGUUGAUCAAAAACUGAAUCCAAAAGGACAAGCAGCACUGUGGCAUUUUGUUGCAUUUUCAUUUUCAGCAUUUUUUCAUGUUCUUUUGCUGUCUGCUGCUCCAGCAAUGGAAAAGUGGUGGUGGUGGUGGUGGUGGUGUGCUGAAGGGAAAGUAGAGGCCCCAAAAAGCAGCUGGGAGUGAUGGGGUACAUCCCAGCCUUCCUGACUGCUGUCCCCAUCUCACCAUGCUGCAAAAGAUACUACUAGAUUUACUGGUCAGGAAAACAAAAUGUUGGGGUUUGGGCUGUUGGAAUGCCAAAGCAGAAAGGCUGUGUUUGAGCCACUUGAGUUUGAGAGUGGGAUAUUUGGGAGUGGGAUGUUUGAGCUUUGCAUGGACAGUCUGCAGGCACUUCUCCAUGUGAGUCCUUAUGGGGUCGAUCUGCCCUGGGGUGCAUUUUUGUCCCAUUCUGUGCUCAUGGAUAGACCGGGUGUCCCACUUGUUUCAUCUUGCUUCCUUCAGGGGCACAAAGAGUUUGAGGCAGAACAAGUGCUGCUGGGUGUCCAGCUUCACGCAUCCCUAUCCAUGCCUGUCCCCUCCUGACCUCCCAUAGAGCACACAGAGGGAUUCCAGGGAUCCAGCGUUCUCUAUCCACACACCACAUUCAUCAUUUGAACCUUUCUUGCCUGUGGGAUUCCUGGUGCUGGAUGAGCUGGGGCUCAGGGCCGGGUGAUGUGAAGCUGUGAGUGAUUCUGCUGAGGUCAGGUGUGGGCAGGAGGGCUCUGUGCUGGCUAUGCAGUCAGGUCCAAGCCAGGCUCAACACGUGCAUCAUCCCCAGGAGCAGGCAGCCAGCGUUCCCACCGCGCGUGUCACAGUUCCCAGGAUAACCAAGGCAUCCAUACAAACAAAACACAGAAACCCUCCGUCUCUCUGGAGACAAGUCACAAACAGAGAGCCAGGCCAAGCCCAUUGAUGGAGCUGCACGCAGUGAAUCACCCACCCAGCUGCAGCCGAAACAAUUUGGGUCAAACAUGCACUCUGGCAGAGCUCCACUGCCUUAUCUUCUGCUUUGCUUGCUUGCUGCACCUCAGCUCAAGGUUUGCUUUGCAGUGCUUUCAGCUGGCUGCAGAGUGCUUGGUGCUGAGGGUGGGCACUGCUUGAUCUGUUACCUGCUUGGAUGCUUUUAUUCCUGUUAAUGAUGAUGGCAUUUUCCUUCCUGGCCAUCAUUCCCUGCAGCUGAGCACAGAGGAUAGAGACAUUCACAGGGAGCUGCACUGAGCUCUGCCUGUUCCCAGGGGCACUGAACAACACUCAGACCCCCAGCAGUUGUAGAGGGGGACUGGGACCUUCCCAGUGUGGGGCUGGGGUUGUGCCCACCUCCAUGCUGGGCUGCAGCAAGCUCCAGACACAGCUCCUGCUCCAUGAGUGUGGGCCCAGGGGACCUUCCUCCAAGAUUACAUCAGUAGCAUGAGGAUGCUGAGUGUACUGUCUGGGAAUCUCGAAGAUGAGGGCUGUUUUGUUGUGUUUUUCUUUUUUCUUUGAGAUUAUGUAUAUGAUAAAAUAUGUUCUUGUGACUCUCUCUCUUUCGGGCUGCUUGCAGAUGGGAUGUGCUGCAAUAGGAACGCUGUGUGGUUUGCUCUUACCUGGGGUGGUUUUGUUUGGUGGGACAGGAGCAGGGCUGGGCUCGAGGCCUCUGCCCAGUUGGGUUCCAAUGGAACAAAUGGAAACCACAAGGAGGGAUGAGCACAGUGCUGCCCUCUCUGCUGAUGGGGUCAUGCCAUCAUGGGACUGUAUGAAAGAUUUCAUUAGAUAUGAAAUGCAGCUUUGUAUAACAAGAGAACGUGGUGUUUCCAGCUUCUAAGCAGGGGGUUUUACCCCAUGAGAGAAAAUGAGGUGGGAGAAGGUGAAUUAUUAGGAUAAACUGCUUCUCCCAAAGAGCAUUCAGGCACUGACACUGCUGCACCAGGGGGGUGGAGAAGCUUACUGUCCUUGUGUAUGGGAACUGUUGAGUCAUGGCCUGAACCACUGAUUGAGCACCUGGGGAAAGGACCCGAUCAGCCCUGAGAGCACAGGUGAAGGCAAUUAAGUUCUGUGACCAGAUUGGGUGGAUUCUGGCUGCACCUGUCUUACACCUCAUUUAAAGGCUGAUUGCCACUGGGGAAGGGUUUCUUUCUGGAGAUGCCUCCCUGGUGAAGCUUUCCCCUGUGAACCUGUAAUCUUUGUAUAUGGAUCUCCAUUGAUGGAAGGUCUCAGCCUAAAACUGAAGGAAAAUCACACCUGAAACAGAAACCCAGAGCAAGACGUACAGCCCUGCUGCACACAGGAAAGCUCUGAGCAUCACCAGCCUAAGAGAUGCCUUGGCUGCAUUUACACUUAGCACAAAGCUACAUGCAUGGGAGAUGCCCCCACCUUUCAGGAUGAGAGGUGCUGCAGAUUCUCAGGAUGUUUUGGGGUGCUGCAGUGGGACGGGAGCUGCAGAGCCAGCACGAGGUUCUAUGGGGUGGUGCUGUGAUGUGGGGGGAAGCUGUCUGUGCAUGAGGAGCCUCAGGUGGGACUGCAAAAUUGAGGCAGAGGUUUGGCUGUUGCACGCAGCACUUCUUAUGCAGUCAUGCUGCAGCUUAGCAAAAGGAACUUCUAUUAAUUUUAUGAUCAAUUUAGUUCUGCUUGUUGCUUCAGGAGAGUCGUGCCCUGCGCUGCUGCUCACGGCGGGCAGCACUGCCCUCUAGUGCGGCUGGGUCUGUCGGCUGGAUGCUGGGAUUGGGGGCUUUUUUAAUGUUUCUGGUUUCUUUCCUUGUGUGGGGGGGUUUGUUUUCUGUUUUAUUUUUCUUUUGGUUGCUUUUGGGUUUUAUUUUUUAGGUUUUUGGGUGUUUUGUUGUUUGUUUUUUUAAUGGAAAAGAGUCCAUCCCAUAAGGGCUGAGGGAACUGGGGUUUUCAGAUGUGGAAAGGAAGGCUCAAGGAGAACUUGAUUGUGGCCUAUCAGGAGCUUGUAAAUGAGAUGAAGAGCAAAAUUUUACAUGGGCAGACAGAGAUAGGACAAGGGAGAAUGAAUCAUAGAACAAUUUAGAUUGGAAAAUAUCACUAAGUGCAUCAAGUCCAAACAUUAACCUAUCCCCACCACAUCCCUAGGCAGGAGGAGGUAGCUGGGGAGUCAGCAAAGGAUGAUUAGAGACCCUCUUCUUUCUUCCAGCCAAGUAUAUCUGUGCUCGCAACUUCCUUAGAGGAAGGAAUCACAGAAUGGUUUGAGAUGGAAAGGACUUCUAAAGGCCAUCAGGUCCAACUCCCUGCACUGAGCAGGGACACCCACAGCUCCAUCAGUGCUCAAAGCCCCAUCCAGCCUGACUGUGGGUGUCUUCGGGGAUGGGGUACUGCCACCUCUCUGGGCACCCUGUGCCAUUCCUCACCACUGUUAGCAUAAGCCAUUUCCUCCUUAUAUACAAUCUAGGAUGUGACAGUGAGGCUGCAAGUGUACCAAAGCCUAUGGAGUCAUUGGACACAUCCCAAACCACUCCUCUUGGCACUGUGCUGCUGGGUGCUGGGGCACUGCCCUUGCCCUAAAGCUCUGCAAACCUCUCACUGUUGCUGAGGCUGUGUUUCAGUGAGCUGUGAGUGCUUCUAGACCAUGGCAUUUAAUUACACUGCAGAACAGCAUCACCUGCCUGGCUUCUCUAGUUCAAAACCUGAGAGGGGUGUGUUCACCCAUCCAGCACUACCCAACCUGGGCCAUGUUCUCCAAAUAUCUCUACUGCUUUCUGCAUGGUUUUCUCAAGAACCAAAACCAAACAAGAUGAGAAGUCUGCUGAGAAGUCUGUGCAUUCUGCACAUGGGAAAAGCAUAGCAAUGGGGCUCCAAGGACAGCACCACUGGGGACAGCCAGCAUGAAGUGCUCAGCAUCCCUCUGCUCCUCUCUCUGGCAGUCUCUGAGGAGUUCAGAUGCAGAUGUUCGGUAACACCAGGACACGUGGAGUGUUGCUCACGUUCAUGGCUCUUGGCGCUGCUCAGCCACGCACACAGUUAUUUUCCUUGGCCCCGACAGAGAAAUGAGCUCCUCAAGGACUUUUCAUUAAGCAAAAAUUUAUGAGGGAGAAUGAAAAUUAUGUUUUACUGUCUGAGGUCUGAGCCGAUGCUGUUCCUUCAGACGUUUUCAUAACGCAGCUUGGCAAGAGGCUGGAGAACAUCUCCAGUGGAACAGGAAUUUCAUGGGGAUGUUGGGAGCUGCCUGUGUCAGCCACUCAGUCCCCAUCUGGGCACUGCCCCCAUCAAGGUCUGUUCCCUGCCCCCUAAAGCCGCAACAAGAGCAAAAGACCCCAUGAAAAAUAAUGUGAGUGUGAUGUAAAGCGUCACUGGGAUUUGAUGCUAAUUUUAGUGGUCACCUUGGCUGCGUUUGAGGAAGUCGCCGGUGCUGCCAAGAGUGAAUUUACCUGAUGAUGAAUGAGGAAUCGGAGCAUAAAAUAAAUAUCAGCAACACCUUUUUUUUGUGUGUGUGUGCUUUUUUGGCAGGUCGGUGUCAUCCAAGGUCAAACAUUUGUGCUUUAGGAGAACUACUGCCAGAGCUCAGAGCUCUAAAAUCCUUUCUAAGUGAAGAGCAGCGACUGUGAGGGCUCGACUUAAAGAAGAAAGACUGAAGUGCAGCCUCCCAGAAACUCUUGCCAUUGGUUGGAUUUUCACAUAGGUGUUAAUCUUCCUUCUUUAUACUCUUUCUCAGGCUUGGAAACAGCGUGCUGAGAAGAAUUCCAUGCUUUCCUCCUGGAGAUGCAGCAGGAUGGAGGAGCUGUGAUCCUUUAAGUGAGGUUAGACCGCAAUCUGUGAGCUGGGGGACAUAGAGUGUUCUGGGGGAACCUUCUUCUCUUGUUCAUGGUAAAUCUUUCUGAAGAGUUGACUUUCUAUGCUCUAAAACAGAAGAAAAAUUGGGAUAUAUUUUCUUCAACAAAUGGUAGCGAGCAGGAAUGGCAUCCCCAGCUCACAGCUGCCCAGUGCUGCAGUCUCCUGCACGUUCCUCCAAAACACCCUUCUGCUGUCUGAAGAUGGAUCCUGGGGACAUACAGCUCUCCCAGUAGUUUUAUGACUUCUUUUAACUGCUUUGUCUUCCCAAGGCAAACUGGGAGGGAGCUGAGAACCGCAGAAGAAGGGUGCCCUUUCUUGCAUCCAUCCAGCAAAGCUGGGCAUUGAUCCCCAUCCUGUUGCUUUGGGCUAUGAGGUAAUGUACUGCCUCGGGGACCCACUGGCAUUUACCCAGAAAAAGAUGCAGUGUGCCAUGGAACAGCACUGCAGAUGGAUCCAAGACCCUCCAUCACUGGGAGUGCGCAGAAAUAUCACAGCCAGAAGGAGGAAUGUCAUUGCCAGGAUGCACAGCUUAGAAGAAGGGAUGCCCCUGCCCAUCUCAUGGGCAUUUGGCUGGGAUCUGGCACUUUUGGAUCUGAGUGCUGCUGGGACGUGAACAAUCUGCAAAGCAAUCAGAAAGUAAAGCCUUGCCUUGGAGAGAAGUGUUAAACCAGGACAGCUCACCCAUGUAGGGAGUGAUGGCACAGGGACAGCCUGGAGGAGGGCAAGGCUGGAUGGAGGCUUUGGUGAACCAACAGCAGAAGUGGCCGUGCAUCCUCCCACCUGCACAGUGCAGCCAUUCCCUGUCUGACCCAGGCUGUAGUCUCCAGAUCUCUGUAGACACAUCGGCACCAGACCCUUAGCAGGGAUGGCUCACACAAAGCCCCCCUUUUCCCUUGGACUCCAUCUCCAAAAGAUGAGUGUCCCUGGAGGGAUUUGCUGUGCCCUAUGAAAUCACAGUGACUCCAGGUCUGCUGGAUCAAAAGAAAGGAGUGGGAGAGGUGCGAGCAUCUUUCCAUGACACAUUUCCACCCACCACCUUUCUCAAAGAACCAGUUUGCUGCUCCCAAGUCUCAUCCCAAUAGCCAGGUUUGUCUCUAAACCCAAUGGGUUUCCUUGAGUUUGAGUCCAUCUACCGAUCCCUUCUGGAUGUUAGAACUGCUUCGUCCAGCCAAACUUCCCUGUUAAUUGUCCUCAGGAUUGGUUUGGAAAAUUGCAUAAGCCCUGGGUUAGGGCUGGCUGCAUCUCCCAUCCCAGUGCCUGAGGCUUCGUGGGGCAAGGACUAAAGAGCUGUGAAACACAGAGAUAUAACAGAUGUUGACAUGUAGUGAAAAUACGAGACGCAGGAGCCUAAGAUAAUAAAUCUGAAAAAUUAACACGUAGGAGAACGAAAAAAGGAGCAAUAUGUUUUGGUAAUCAUUCUGAACUGCUGAACCCUUCUCCUGCAGUUCAAAAAUCUCUGGUAUUAAGCAGAUGUCAUUCAACUGAUGAUUAACACAUUACCAAAUUUCUCCAGUCGUUUAAUAAAAGUUUUUACAUAACAUGCAGGUAAUUGCUUCCAAAUGUCAAGGUAACAAUGUGGGCUUCUAUGGAUGGCAUUGUUUCCAGCAUCAGGUGAAACCCCUCUAUCAGGCGAAGUCCCGCACUGCCCAGCUGCUUUUCCUGUCACUGCUAUUGCAGAGACAAAGGAAUAGUCGGGGAAGAUUAGAAGCCUUGGAUCUGGUAAUGUUCUCCUCCCUUCAUGUAGCCAUGUAUGCGAACAGCAGGCCUUGUGCUCUGAAAAUGGGGCGUGGGGUUAUGCCUUUUUGGUUUUUAUCCCCUUUUCUUACUAGAUCUUGCUGCUGCUGGAUGCAAUAGGUGGUGGAUGCAAGCAGGGUGAAUGCGAGCUACAGGCAGCAGGGAUGACCCAUUGAUCCCAAUGCUGCAGGAGCUCCCUCCCUAUCCCAGAGCUCCCCCCAAACUCAAAACCUGAACUUCCCCUCCAUGGGAGCAGGGAGAA